GACGAACGCUGGCGGCGUGCUUAACACAUGCAAGUCGAACGGAAAGGCCCUGCUUUUGUGGGGUGCUCGAGUGGCGAACGGGUGAGUAACACGUGAGUAACCUGCCCUUGACUUUGGGAUAACUUCAGGAAACUGGGGCUAAUACCGGAUAGGAGCUCCUGCUGCAUGGUGGGGGUUGGAAAGUUUCGGCGGUUGGGGAUGGACUCGCGGCUUAUCAGCUUGUUGGUGGGGUAGUGGCUUACCAAGGCUUUAACGGGUAGCCGGCCUGAGAGGGUGACCGGCCACAUUGGGACUGAGAUACGGCCCAGACUCCUACGGGAGGCAGCAGUGGGGAAUAUUGCACAAUGGGCGGAAGCCUGAUGCAGCAACGCCGCGUGCGGGAUGACGGCCUUCGAGUUGUAAACCGCUUUCGCCUGUGACGAAGCGUGAGUGACGGUAAUGGGUAAAGAAGCACCGGCUAACUACGUG
rnacentral:rRNA from 1 species